rnacentral:lncRNA from 13 species
CUUUUCGCUAUUUUUGCAGCUUAUAAGCUUUGGAGAUGCUUAACUAUAUACAGAUAUGCCAUGUUUUGACAAACAAUGGUCUCUCCUAGCUAGUAAUUAUAGACAAUAAGAAGAAGGAGAUCUGUGGAGCCUCAUUUAACUCUUUCAUGUCUCUCUGAGUAUGUUUAGGAAUUCUAAACCAAAUUCACUUCUGCCAUUUCCCGAUGAACUGAGAGAUGUUAGUUCAGCUCUCUAAGAAUAACACUUUGUUCUGAUAUGGGAAAAUCACAAAUGUAUUCUGGAACAAAAAUGUAUUAGAUUAAUCCAGGUCUGCUGGAGAUUCGAAAGAAUAGUUUUGCAUUUAGUACUGUGCAUAUAACUGGUCGAGAAAAACAGCCUUUUUGUCAACAAUACAUAAGCUGGAUAGACUUCAUUUAUUGCCUGAGUAUUAGGCUUUUUAAGACUGACUCCACAACUCUUUUGUGAUCGUGUAAAGGAAUAGAUUCGCUUCAACCUUGACCUACAGUAAAAAGAUCUUUUAUACAGCAAAGGUAUAAUUCCCCUUUAAGGAACUUCUCAAUGAUGUAUGUCCAGAAGCCAUCAUGCACACUUAUUUAAAAACAAUAGGUCAUUGCUUGGCAUAAUAUUUCAUCUAAUACUAUCUAGGGACAUGGAUGAACCUGGAAACCAUCAUUCUCAGCAAACUGACACAAGAACAGAAAAUCUCAUUCAUAGUGGAGAAGCUUGGAACUAUAUUUCCUAAAAUCUUCUCUUAGAAAGCAGGAGAGAAACAGAGGUCAUUACUCCUUGUAAGUGAUUAC